ACACCAGCAGCAGCAGCAGCAGCAGGGAGCUCCUCCCCAACCCCAGCCCCAGUCCCAGCCCCAGUUCCAGCGCCAGGGGCUUCAGCAGACACAGCAACAGCAACAGACAGCAGCUUUGGUCCGGCAGCUCCAACAACAGCUCUCCAAUACCCAGCCACAGCCCAGUACCAACAUAUUUGGACGCUACUGAGCCACCUGGAAGAAGAACGGCUUGUGCCCUGGAUGUGGCCCCACCCCUUCAUCUUAAUUCCUGGUCUCCUUUUCAGGCUAGCACCAGUAGUGGUUGGGGCUCUUCCCUCAGGCUCCAUUUUUAAUAAGUUUUUAGUAUUUUUGUUAAUGUGAGGCGUUGAGCUGUUGGGUUUUGUAUAUUAUUUAUAUAGAGACCCCAGAGCUGUUGCACCCAAUACACAGAGCUUCUUUGCAAA